CCCCCCCCCAGUAGUGGUCUCAGCCCCACAGUCCAACCUGAGCCCCCCAGGAGCGAUCUGAGCCCCCCCCCCACCGCUGUCUAUAGACAUAGAGGGACCUGGAGUGGGGUGCAGGUGCCUAUGGGGCCCUAUUGCUCCUAUAGUGUAUAUGGCCCUGUUGGCGUAGCACAUAUGGGGCACGGAUAGGCCUAUAGGUACGUGUGCAGAGCUGAGCAUAUGGGGUUUUUAUUUACAUACAGCCCUAUAUGUCGUCUUAUUUCCAGUGCUGUGGGCAGAGCUGGGGGUGGGGUUUGCAUAUGGGCCAUAUGUGGUCCCUAUAGGGUCCAUAGGCUUCUCAGUGUGGGUAUAUGGGUGCCUAUAGGAUCCAUAUGUGGUCCCUAUAGGGUCCGUAGGCUUCUCAGUGUGGGUAUAUGGGUGCCUAUAGGGUCCAUAUGUGGUCCCUAUAGGGUCCGUAGGCUUCUCAGUGUGGGUAUAUGGGUGCCUAUAGGGUCCAUAUGUGGUCCCUAUGGGGUCCGUAGGCUUCUCAGUGUGGGUAUAUGGGUGCCUAUAGGGUCCAUUUGUGGCCCCCAUAGGGUGCAUACCCAUACAGUGCUGUAGGUCUAGGGGGGGCUCUGGGGGUCCCAUUCCCCUUUUCCCCCAGGGAAGCACGGGGGGGGACGGGGGGGGAUGGACGGAUGGAUUGGGAAACCCCAUUGAGUGUUAACCCCCCCCCCCAGUAAAAAAACAACCCCAAACCCACCAAUUUCUGCCCCCAAAAUGAGCAUCCCCGGGGGGAUCCCCCCCGGCCGCAGGUCCUGGCAGGUCACAGCAGCGAUCUGAGCCCCCCCAGGAGCGAUCUGAGCCCCCCCAGCAGUGAUCUGAGCCCCCCAGGAGCGAUCUGAGCCCCCCCAGGAG
ensembl:lncRNA